rnacentral:lncRNA from 10 species
AGUCUCUCUGCUCAGCGUCCUUCGCCAGGUGCUUCCCGGGCACUUAGCGCAUUGCCCUCGAGGAACGCUUAUCGAAUUGAACAUAACCGACAGGACUCCAGGAUUUGGAGCCAUUCCUGAGCUCAUUGCAAGUAGGAGAUGGGACAGUGGGUGAGCCGAAACUGGUAUGGGAAUUUUAUCCUGGCCUCUGAUGGGGGCAGAGAAGACCUCUCAGUAACAGGAAGGUCACAGUUUUAAGGCGGCAGGCACAGUUUGCAGGGCCCCCUGUCCGCAGGAUAUACCCCGCUCCCUCAAAAAAGAUGAAGCCGAAAAUUCCAUCAUUAAGGACAAAAUUUAAGGGGGCACCAAGGAGUCCAGUAACCUAGACAAAUUAUAUAUAGAGAGAGAUGAUUGGUUUUUUGGGGUUUUUUGUUUGUUUUUUGAGACAGGGUCUUUCUCUGUCACCCAGGCUGGAGUGCAGUGGUGUGAUCAUAGCUCACUGCAGCCUUAAACUCUGGGCUUAAGAUCCUCCUGCCUCAGCUCCCCAAGUAGCUAGGACUACAGGAGUGCACCACCAUGCCUGGCUGGUUUAUUUUUAUUUUUCGUAGAGAUAGGGUGUUGCUAUGUUGCCCAGGCUGGUCUUGAUUCCUGGCCUCAAGCAAUCCUCCGGCCUGGGCUUCCCAAAGUGCUGGGAUUACAGGCAAGAGCCACCGUGUAAGACCUAGAAAAAUAAUAUUUUAAUGCAUUUUUUAAAAUCAAAAUUAAUGUCAAAAAAUCCACGAUGAACAAAAUGCUAACAUUUUAAAUAGAUAGGAUCAACAACAAUGUUCUAUCAGGCCAUAUUGGAGCCUGGAACAGAAGGAAACUCAGUCAAAUAGUACUGAUUCUGUCUAACAAUCCUUAGAACACAGUCACACAUUUUUUUAAAAUUUAUUUUUAUUUAUAGAGACAGGGUCUCACUAUAUUGUCCAGACUGGUCUCGAACUCCUGGGCUCAAGCAGUCCUCCUGCCUCAGCCUCCCAAAGUGCUGGGAUUGUGGGCAUGAGUCAUGGGGCCGGUCCAUAUUAUUUGUGCUCCAGUUUGAAGGGCCCUGUCAGGACUCUUCACCAGGCAUGGGAAAGGCCCUCAGAUGCCUGUAAGGGAAGAGAAGGCUCUAGAGAGGAAGAAGGUGAACCAGCUUGUGGAAGGCGGGGGGUGCCUUUCAGAACCAGACUGAAGCCAGCUCCCAGGCCAGUCCCUGCCCUGGAGCUCUUGACACAGUGUUGCUUCUACAUGUCUGUAGUAGACAUAUUACAUCCCCCCAACCCCACUCCCACCUGCCAGCCCCAAGGAAAACUCGCAGGGUCUGGGUCACUGCGUGCCAGCCCAAUGGCCCACUCUAGCCUUCUGCACUAACUGGCCUUCAGACUUCCCAGGAAGCCCCAAAGCAGUGGGGCUUCCAUUCCAAUUCAGAAUGAACAUCAGCUGGUCACCUUCUGAAGCCAGGCCUGUAGUAGUAGGUGCUAGGUUUUAUCUAAAGUACAACAACCCCAUGAGGUGUUUAUUAUGUCAUUUUCCAGUCAAGGAAACUGAAUCCAAGUAGUUAAAUAACUUGCCCAAGGUUAUGCAGCUCCAGGGCAUUGCAAAUACUCUUGCCUCCUAAGGAAUUGUCCCAGCUCUGAAACCUAGCUGGGCUGAAAGCCAGGACUUGAGAGGUUGAGCUGGGAAGUUCUCAUCCUCUUCGGCUCUAACUGUGGUCUAUCCAUCUCCUUCCUCAAAGAGGCUGUCUUGGCCCCACCCAGACACAAUCUUCUGAGGCUUAGAAGAAGUGGCAUUUUCUUUGGCAGGAGGGGUUCUUGAAUGAAUUCACAGAAAUGGGAAUGGGAAAGAGAUGGAUACCUUCUCCUGGCAGGGCUCCUGCCAGGAAGAAGUUAAGGCACACCUAGAACCUGCUUCCUGUCCUAGGAAACCCCUGGUCCAGCCCACCCUGCCUGACUCACUGGAUCUGGGGCAUGAGUCAUACCCCUUCCUUCCCCAGGCUGUGGUGGCUGAGCCACCAGCCCACCAGGGAACCAUGAUGACAUAAGCCCAACUCACCCAUAGGGAAGAGGAUGGAGACAGAAGGAAGCAGACAGCAGUAAACAGCUGGGGGAGGGGGCAGGGACGAGCAAGAAGCUUUCAGAGAGACACCCCUCCUCUCCCUCUCAGGCCUGGAGGCUGAUGUGGAAGGGUCCCUGGCCCUCUCAGCUCCUCCCCUUUUUGUCCCGAAGGGACAGGGACAGAUAAUGCCUAGGGUGCUGAGUUGCAGAA